CCUACGGGGGGCAGCAGUGAGGAAUAUUGGUCAAUGGCCGCAGGGCUGAACCAGCCAAGUCGCGUGAGGGAUGACGGUCCUAUGGAUUGUAAACUUCUUUUGUCAAGGGACAAAAUCAGGCUCGAGAGCCUGACCGAGGGUACUUGCAGAAAAAGCAUCGGCUAACUCCGUGCCAGCAGCCGCGGUAAUACGGGGGAUGCGAGCGUUAUCCGGAUUUAUUGGGGUUAAAGGGUGCGUAGGCGGACUGUUAAGUCAGCGGUAAAAGCCCGGGGCUCAACCCCGGCGAGCCGUUGAAACUGGCUGUCUUGAGAUGUCGAGAGGUAUGCGGAAUGCGCAGUGUAGCGGUGAAAUGCUUAGAUAUUGCGCAGAACUCCGAUUGCGAAGGCAGCAUACCGGCGGCGAUCUGACGCUGAGGCACGAAAGCGUGGGUAUCGAACAGGAUUAGAUACCCCUGUAGUC
rnacentral:rRNA from 1 species